UACGUAGGGGGCGAGCGCUGUCCGGAAUCAUUGGGCGUAAAGAGCGUGUAGGCGGCUUGGCAAGUCUGACGUGAAAGCCCGCGGCUCAACCGCGGAUUGUCGUUGGAAACUGCCUCGCUAGAGUCCGGAAGAGGAGAGCGGAAUUCCUGGUGUAGCGGUGGAAUGCGCAGAUAUCAGGAAGAACACCCGUGGCGAAGGCGGCUCUCUGGGACGGUACUGACGCUGAGACGCGAAAGCGUGGGGAGCGAACAGG
rnacentral:rRNA from 1 species